rnacentral:rRNA from 1 species
CCUACGGGAGGCAGCAGUGAGGAAUAUUGGUCAAUGGACGAGAGUCUGAACCAGCCAAGUAGCGUGAAGGAUGACUGCCCUAUGGGUUGUAAACUUCUUUUAUAUGGGAAUAAAAUGUUCCACGUGUGGGACCUUUUAUGUACCAUAUGAACAAGGAUCGGCUAACCCCGUGCCAGCCGCCGAGGUAAUACGGAGGAUCCGAGCGUUUUCCGGAUUUAUUGGGUUUAAAGGGAGCGUAGGUGGAUUGUUAAGUCAGUUGUGAAAGUUUGCGGCUCAACCGGAGAAUUGCAGUUGAAACUGGCAGUCUUGAGUACAGUAGAGGUGAGCGGAAUUCGUGGUGUAGCGGUGAAAUGCUUAGAUAUCACGAAGAACUCCGAUUGCGAAGGCAGCUCACUGGACUGCAACUGACACUGAGGCUCGAAAGUGUGGGUAUCGAACAGGAUUAGAUACCCGAGUAGUC